rnacentral:lncRNA from 1 species
UUCUAGCUACAUAGUUCCUAUUAUAGCUUAAAAAAAUAUAUUUUUUAACACAUUGUCUUCUUUUGCAACCAUGCUCUUUAUUUUAUAAUUUCAUUGAUUUUAUGAACAAUAUUGAGUAGUAUACUUGGAUUUUUUAUAAUAUAGAUAUAAUCCUUCUUGACAACAAUAAGUUUUUUUUUAUUUAUUAAGAAAUUUGAAAUGUACCAUGUUAAUUUGCUUAGGAUCUAGCAUAGACAAAUAAGCUUUCAAAAACUUAGAAGGUGUUAAUACAGCUUGACUUAUACUUCUUCAAUCAUAUCUUUGUUCUUGGCAUCUUUCAAAGGAUCAAUUAUCACAUACAAUGGCUUCAGCAAUAAAUUGCUCCAAUGAAUAUAUUCUUAACAUUGUCAACAAUAAAUCUUUGAUAUUAUCUUUUAAUCCAUAUCAAAAUUCAUUGAUAAAGGCUUUAUCAUUCCAAUCCACUUGAUCUUUGUCAUAAUAAUAUGAAUUUGAUUUUUGUUAUUAUUUUUUUAUUACUUUUUAAAAUUUAGCUAUAAAUAUUUUCAAGAAUGAAUUCAAGUCAUAGGAAAAUCAUAA